rnacentral:rRNA from 1 species
UACGUAGGGGGCAAGCGUUGUCCGGAAUCAUUGGGCGUAAAGCGCGUGUAGGCGGUUCGGUAAGUCUGCUGUGAAAGUCCAGGGCUCAACCCUGGGAUGCCGGUGGAUACUGUCGGGCUAGAGUACGGAAGAGGCGAGUGGAAUUCCCGGUGUAGCGGUGAAAUGCGCAGAGAUCGGGAGGAACACCAGUGGCGAAGGCGGCUACCUGGACCAGCACUGACACUGAGGCACGAAAGCGUGGGGAGCAAACAGG